rnacentral:lncRNA from 1 species
UAUGAUUCUCUUUUGAUCACAUACAUGUAUCCAUUUCAACCAACUUCUACAUUCGUAAAGUCUUUACAUUUCAUUACAUCACUUGCAUUAUUUCUUUUUACAUCAUAUUGCCCAAAAUAAACAUUACAUUCUUUCUCUUUACUUUAAACAUCUUCAAGUACAAAAGAUGACCACAGGGUAGCUACUAACAAAAUGUGAAAUAACCAAACUCUG